CGGCUGUAACUCGGCUUAGGAGUAGAGCCCGACCGAUAUGGAUUUUGUUGUGGCCGAUAUGAAACCGAUAUAAUGGGAGAUGGAGCUGCCGAUAGCCGAUAUAAUCGCCGAUAUAUUUAGUGAUGUAAAAAUUCACUGUAAAUCUUGAAUUGAUUAAAAAACUUAGGUUUGGCUCUAGUGGAUUCUAAAUUGGGUUUAUUUAGGCAACAUUUAUUAUUAUUUUGACUCUUUACAUCAUAUUUACAUACAGUAGAUUGGCCUAAUGGCAUUUUUGCAUCACAUUCUAGCUACUGUUACUGUCACUGCUAGUGAUGGGUAUUCCAGUUUUUUUUUUUUUUUUUUUUUUUGGAGAACCGGCUCGGCUCACUAAAGCAGCUGGCUCUUUCGGCUCCCAAGCGACUCUUGACAUUGUUUUGUUGCAAGCAGGGCUAAACCAGAACUGAACCAGGACUGAGUGUCGGGACUCGGUUUCUAUCUUCCCUACUAGCAUCAGGAUCCGCAGCGGAUCCGCUUUCGGUCCGCCAAAUCCGCCCCACAGUCCGUCCGCUUUGCGGAUCCGCUGCGUAUUUGUUCCGUAUUCGCUUUCUGACUGUUGCUAAUCCUAACCCUUGGAUGGCCUGCUGUUACAGAGAGAAUCUGCGGUUAAAUCAUCUUAGAUCCGCACUGUGAACGCACUUUUAACACAACACUUUGUUUUUGACACAAUGAUUUGUACUAUCAAUGCGCGGAUCCACGGCUAAACCGGUUCGGAUUCGCUGCGCGGACGCGCCACUGACUCAUCAGCCGUUAUCGGGACCUGAGUGGAAAGAAGCAGCAUCCACCUGUUGUCCGCGGAUUUAACUAUGACAUCAGGAGCCCCUGUCCUUCUGCUGAAUGUCCCCAUCAGGAGCCCGGCACGCUGAUCAGAAAAUAUACUAUGGUUAAUAAGAAGAUGGACAUAACAGCAUGAUAAAGACCCUCUGGAGAAUUCCCUCUGCUGGGCCAAGUUCCAAAAAUGUAGAGACAGACCCUGUAACAUGCUGUGGUGGAGUUUAAAGACUGACCCUCUAUGCUGUGAGAAAGGGGAAGCCCAGUCCUGGACACUGACAGACUGGAUCUUCACCAGUAGGACUGAAGAGGAGCCAGACUCACUACACCUCUGCCUCAGACUGAAGCUAAAGACAGAGGCUCUGAAGCUCCCACACUGCACACUCUAUAAGAACAACCAUCCGUCUAAUUGUACUGUGGUGGUAAACACAAGUUAAGUUUUAGUUUUAAACAGUAUGGUAUGGCUACACUCUGUCUCAUCUGUCCAGGCUUUUACUCAUAUAGCUUAUAUUUGUUUUUUGCCAUUUAAAAAAAAACAAAAACUUUGCUUAACUUGAACUAUUUUUAAUAAAAACUGUAAAUUGUCAUUUUCAUAUUAAGAAUGAAGCAUUGGUUAACUCAAAGGGUAUAUAAGUCCUAUAACAUUAAUAAUAAUUAUUCAUGUCCUAAGAUUUCUAAUUAAUGAUUUAAAUAAAUAUUGUUUACAAUGUAAAAAAAA